rnacentral:rRNA from 1 species
GAUGAACGCUGGCGGCGUGCCUAAUACAUGCAAGUCGAGCGAACAGAUGAGGAGCUUGCUCCUCUGACGUUAGCGGCGGACGGGUGAGUAACACGUGGAUAACCUACCUAUAAGACUGGGAUAACUUCGGGAAACCGGAGCUAAUACCGGAUAAUAUAUUGAACCGCAUGGUUCAAUAGUGAAAGACGGUUUUGCUGUCACUUAUAGAUGGAUCCGCGCCGCAUUAGCUAGUUGGUAAGGUAACGGCUUAUCAAGGCGACGAUGCGUAGCCGACCUGAGAGGGUGAUCGGCCACACUGGAACUGAGACGCGGUCCAGACUCCUACGGGAGGCCGCAGUAGGGAAUCUUCCGCAAUGGGCGAAAGCUUGACGGAGCAACGCCGCGUGAGUGAUGAAGGUCUUCGGAUCGUAAAACUCUGUUAUUAGGGAAGAACAAAUGUGUAAGUAACUAUGCACGUCUUGACGGUACCUAAUCAGAAAGCCACGGCUAACUACGUG